rnacentral:rRNA from 1 species
AUUGAACGCUGGCGGCAUGCUUUACACAUGCAAGUCGAACGGUAACAGGCCUUCGGGUGCUGACGAGUGGCGAACGGGUGAGUAAUGCAUCUGAACGUGCCCAGAGGUGGGGGAUAACGCAGCGAAAGCUGUGCUAAUACCGCAUGUGAUCUGAGGAUGAAAGCGGGGGACCAGGCAGCAAUGUUUGGCCUCGCGCCUUUGGAGCGGCCGAUGUCAGAUUAGGUAGUUGGUGGGGUAAAGGCCUACCAAGCCGACGAUCUGUAGCUGGUCUGAGAGGACGACCAGCCACACUGGGACUGAGACACGGCCCAGACUCCUACGGGAGGCAGCAGUGGGGAAUUUUGGACAAUGGGCGAAAGCCUGAUCCAGCAAUGCCGCGUGCGGGAAGAAGGCCUUCGGGUUGUAAACCGCUUUUGUACGGAACGAAAAGGAUCUGGCUAAUACCUGGGGCUGAUGACGGUACCGUAAGAAUAAGCACCGGCUAACUACGUG